rnacentral:rRNA from 1 species
UACGUAGGGGGCUAGCGUUGUCCGGAUUUACUGGGCGUAAAGAGCGCGCAGGCGGUCGUUCAAGUCGAGUGUGAAAGUCCCCGGCUCAACUGGGGAGGGGCACUUGAUACUGAUCGACUCGAAGGCAGGAGAGGGAAGCGGAAUUCCCGGUGUAGCGGUGAAAUGCGUAGAUAUCUGGAGGAACACCGGUGGCGAAGGCGGCAUCCUGGACCAACACUGACGCUGAGUGAGCGAAAGCCAGGGGAGCAAACGGG